AUGAGUGUAUUUCAGAACAUUGUAGCUCAGCAAAUGCCUGCAAUAGCUAGACUUCAAGGUGAAAUAGAGCAGUACUUGACUGAUGGUUUAGUGCCUUACAUUGAAAAGUUCAAUGUGCUGGAUUGGUGGAAGGUGGCUGGAACAAGGUAUCCAACCUUAAGGAAAGUAGCAAGAGACAUAUUUGCUAUUCCCGUAACAACAGUUGCUUCAGAGUCAGCCUUUAGUAUAAGUGGCAGAAAGCUCAAUGAUCAUAGAAGCUGA
rnacentral:rRNA from 1 species